rnacentral:rRNA from 1 species
CGGCGGGCGGGUGAGUAACACGUGGGUAACCUACCUAUAAGACUGGGACAACUUCUGGAAACCGGAGCUAAUACCGGAUAAGAUAUCGAACCGCAUGGUUCGAUAGUGAAAGAUGGUUUUGCUAUCACUUAUAGAUGGACCCGCGCCGUAUUAGCUAGUUGGUGAGGUAACGGCUCACCAAGGCAACGAUACGUAGCCGACCUGAGAGGGUGAUCGGCCACACUGGAACUGAGACACGGUCCAGACUCCUACGGGAGGCAGCAGGG